rnacentral:rRNA from 1 species
UGGGGAAUAUUGGACAAUGGGCGCAAGCCUGAUCCAGCAAUGCCGCGUGUGUGAAGAAGGCCUGCGGGUUGUAAAGCACUUUAAGCAGGAAAGAAGGCUUCAGAGUUAAUACCUCUGGAGAUUGACGUUACCUGCAGAAUAAGCACCGGCUAACUCCGUGCCAGCAGCCGCGGUAAUACGGAGGGUGCGAGCGUUAAUCGGAAUUACUGGGCGUAAAGCGCGCGUAGGCGGUUUGUUAAGUCCGCUGUGAAAGCCCUGGGCUCAACCUGGGAACUGCAGUGGAUACUGGCAGGCUAGAGUAUGGUAGAGGAGAGUGGAAUUUCCGGUGUAGCAGUGAAAUGCGUAGAGAUCGGAAGGAACACCAGUGGCGAAGGCGGCUCUCUGGACCAAUACUGACGCUGAGGUGCGAAAGCGUGGGGAGCAAACA